CAGUUGCAUUCUGAAUUGUCACCAUUCAAAAAACCAUUAUCAGCAAAUUGCCAGUAUAACCUAAACUCGGCUCCUGUUAUCAUCUAUCUGGAAAUGAUGAAGAAUAAAAACACUCUUCACAAAUACAACAAAAAUGGACAAGUAGAUUUCAGAAUGCUUCACAAGGAUAUAACAUCCAGUGAAUCCCUGGAGAAGACUAAAGCACUAUGUCACGAGUAUGGACAAAAAGCACUGCAAGCAAUUGAUUCCUUUCCUGUGACUGACGCCAGAAAUGCAUUGCAAAAUAUUAUCCGAGCAGUGGCAGUUAGAUAAACAAUAAAGAGUAUAUUUAUAGACGCAGAUCAUCUGCUAGUAAACAAAAUUGUAUAAUAUGUCAUUGACAUGGAUUGUGUACUACAUUAUGAUUGGAUGCUCUUAUACUUUAACUUUAUUGACAUUAUUCAUUUUGAAUAGAACAAAGUCCAAUUU